ACGAACGCUGGCGGCGUGCUUAACACAUGCAAGUCGAACGGAAAGGCCCUGCUUUUGUGGGGUUCUCGAGUGGCGAACGGGUGAGUAACACGUGAGUAACCUGCCCUUGACUUUUGGAUAACUUCAGGAAACUGGGGCUAAUACCGGAUAGGAGCUCCUGCUGCCUGGUGGGGGUUGGAAAGUUUCGGCGGUUGGGGAUGGACUCGCGGCUUAUCAGCUUGUUGGUGGGGUAGUGGCUUACCAAGGCUUUGACGGGUAGCCGGCCUGAGAGGGUGACCGGCCACAUUGGGACUGAGAUACGGCCCAGACUCCUACGGGAGGCAGCAGUGGGGAAUAUUGCACAAUGGGCGGAAGCCUGAUGCAGCAACGCCGCGUGCGGGAUGACGGCCUUCGGGUUGUAAACCGCUUUCGCCUGUGACGAAGCGUGAGUGACGGUAAUGGGUAAAGAAGCACCGGCUAACUACGUG
rnacentral:rRNA from 1 species